CAUUACAGUUAUGAGAUGAGUGAUAUUGAACCGAACAACAGAGUGGCAAGCUAAGAGGAAGGAUCGAACGGUAGAAUGGCAAGCUGGGAGGAAGGACCGAACGACAUAUUGUCAAGCAAAAAGGAAGGAAGGAGAACCUUGCACCAAACGGCUGAUCACAGUUGCACCGAAUGACAGAGAACCCUUGAAUCGAAUAACAGAGAGGAAGAAAGUGGAAUGCAUAAAGGAACACAUGUGAGGAGGGAGAAUAUUAAAUUGCGUGACUUCAUUCUAGAAUGAGUAACUUGUGUUGUGGUUUCUUUCUCUCUCUCUGGACUACCUUCUCUUUGAUCUUUUCUAAAAUUCUUUUGUCCUUGCCUCCUUUUUCAGGAAUGACUUUCAUCAUUGCUCUGCUACGACCCAUGCAAUUACACAACUGUUUUUAUUAUUUUGUUAAUGCCAAGUGUUGCUUGUACUGAGACUCAAAUAUGUUACUAAUACAAAUCCCCAAUACCCU
rnacentral:lncRNA from 1 species